GUUGGUCUCCGUGUUUUUAAUUAGCAUCCUGGGAAAAUGCUGCAGUCUCGUGGCCCUCCUGUGGAAUCUCGGGGAAUGCCCUACAGGCUGAUCACAUUGUUUUGGUUACAGGACCAAAUACCAACCACCCUGAGCUCUUGGCAUCUCUGGAUGAGAAGCCAGACCUGAGAUAGACAGUGUCUUCCUUGCUCAACAAGGCCUCGAGGCUUUUUUCCUGUAUUUCUGAGGGCCUAACCCUUCUCCCAGGGCAGAGUUGAGAGGCUUAUAUGAGAGGUUUCUGGAAGGGCAGGCUCAGUAUCUGACACUGACAGUGUCUCUUGGCCUGGGAUCGCCUGAGGGCCCUGUGAAGCUUCAGAGCAGUGCCUGAAACACUCUGAGGACAGAAACUCAGGGACCAACACACCUGUUUCCACAGAGCUGGCCCCUGCCUCUGCUUCCUGGAAGCACUGCAAGAGUGCCUGCAGUUAUAGCCGGGAGAUGACCACAGUGAGAAGCCAGAGAAGAGGUAAACAGCAACCUUGGGCAAGCAGGAAGGCAGAAGCAGAUGCUUGGAACCACCCAGAGGUUUUCUACCACAGAAUGUGUAACUUUGAUUUUCACACACAAAAUGGUCUCAACAGUGGUUGAAAUAUACAAAAACAGAAACCCCAAUCCAGCCCUUAGCCUGAUGCUCUGCAUGCUGUUAAGAAGGGGGUGUUGAAUGAUUCCAUUUAUUUGAAAUACCCAGGAGAGGGAGAAGGUUCAUUUGAGAACUUCCCCUGCUGAAGCUUUCCCUGACCCUCUGGGAGGGGCCGGACCCUCCGUCUGUGGUCCCACAACCCCUGAGGAGGAGGAGGCACUCAUCAGGUCCCUUGGCGCCUUGCAGCCCUUUUCUUGGGCCUGCCUUUUACCUCCAUCCUCCACUCCACUGAUGGCUCAGAGCCCAGAAUCCUGUCUUCAUCCUGGCAACAGUCCCUUCAGGGCCCAGCAGGAUGGGGGAAUGAAUAAAUGUGCCUGUUUCUGAACAUAAUCAUUAAAUUCUUUACCUGUAAUGUGGACAUUAAAGGUGAAUCAUUUCCCCCCUUAAACCCCCUCCAUCUUUCAAACCUGCUACCCCCGACCCUCACUGAGCAAAAAAUUGGAAAGCUGCUCUCACGGCAUUAUUGAAAUUGAAAUAGGGAAUAGAACCUGGAUGUCCGGAGCAAUCUUCUGACCUGGAAUUUUCUCCUCGCUUUGCUGCCUCUUGGGAAAAGCCUGUUCCGCACAAGCUGGCAAGGUACUGUGGUCGCAUCAGACCUGCCUUGUAGCCUCAGGGCAUGUGGGUCUUGGGGCAUCUGACAUAGGAGCACCCUGAUUCCGUUU
rnacentral:lncRNA from 1 species